rnacentral:lncRNA from 13 species
GGUUGAGCCAGAUUUGGCCCAUGGGUUAUAGUGUGCCUACUCUGGUUCCAGACUGUCCUCAUAAUUGUUUUCCUCAGCUAGUCCAUAAGAUUAAAAAGUCACUAUUCUUGCAUUUAUUGUAUUUUGCAGAGUUGUGAGAAAAAAAAUCUCUAUAAGUUGCUUUGACCACUGGAAGAUAAGACACAAAUUGUAUGUCUAGCUUCGUUUACUGAAGAAUCUAAAUGCUCUUUUGAAAAAAGUAGGCACUGAAAUGCUUUGAAAAUAUGUUUUCAAAAUAAGUAUUGCAUGCACAAAAGUGUCACAAUACUGAGGACCUGGUAUGGUGCUAAGAAAGGGAAUACACAUCUAAUGCUCCAAACGUCUCAUCAAUUCACAAAAGCUUAUGGUUCUUCUUUUAAACUCAGAGCUUCCCUGGACCUCAACCAGCGCCAUUUGGGCAAAAAUUCAAUAAGCUGUGUGAGGGUCAUUAUUGAACAAACAUAUUAUCAGAUUUAGAUGGUUUGAUGUUAUUCUGAAGUUAUUCUGAAGACCAAUGAAAUAUCACGACGGUCAUGAAUAUACAAAAUUGUAUUCUUAUAUGAAUGAUACAGCUUAGUUUCUCAUAUCUGUUUUUCACUUUCCAGUACAUAUUUUUUGCAUUAAUAUUAAAAACCUGCCACACGGACAAACCACGCCACUGUUUCCUUUUCAUCAUAUGCAGUUAUUUGAAGAGAUUGGCAUUAAUCUGCGAAUUCUCCAUCAGGCUCAUUAGAAAAUAGCUGCGAAGAAGGAAUUAUCAAGUAGUUACCUUGGUCUCUG